GUGGGGAAUUUUGGACAAUGGGCGCAAGCCUGAUCCAGCAAUGCCGCGUGCAGGAAGAAGGCCUUCGGGUUGUAAACUGCUUUUGUACGGAACGAAACGGUCCGGGUUAAUACCCUGGGCUAAUGACGGUACCGUAAGAAUAAGCACCGGCUAACUACGUGCCAGCAGCCGCGGUAAUACGUAGGGGGCAAGCGUUAAUCGGAAUUACUGGGCGUAAAGCGUGCGCAGGCGGUUUUGUAAGACAGGCGUGAAAUCCCCGGGCUCAAACUGGGAAUUGCGCUUGUGACUGCAAGGCUGGAGGGCGGCAGAGGGGGAUGGAAUUCCGCGUGUAGCAGUGAAAUGCGUAGAUAUGCGGAGGAACACCGAUGGCGAAGGCAAUCCCCUGGGCCUGCACUGACGCUCAUGCACGAAAGCGUGGGGAGCAAACAGGAUUAGAAACCCUUGUAGUCC
rnacentral:rRNA from 1 species